GUCAGAUGGUGCCACACUGGUGCUGUGGAGCUUGGAAGGCAGGAAGGAGACCUCUGGUGCCUAAGUUCCCGCACCCAUCCCCACUCCUACAGUGGCCCAGAGGAGCAGGAGCAGGCAAAGGACGUACGGACAGUUGCAGAGUGAGAUUUGCUAGAACAGAUGCUGAGAUGGAGUUUCCAGAGCAAGGUGCUUAGGAGAUCAGCAUUCGAGAAGAGAAGGAAAGGGCAGCAGAUAGGGCGGAAGAAGAUGCAAACCUACGUACGAUGCCAGCUCACUAAGGCUUGGCCAACCUGUCUGGAAGAGAUGAAGGGUAGCAAGACUAUCUUUAAUAUGGGCCACAUUUUCUGGGCCUGGUAGAAGGAAAUGUUUGCUUCAUGCCUGCUUGCCCUCACCUUGCUAGAAAGUCCAUUCCUUCAUUGGCAUUAGAACCUACUUCUUCAGGAUUCCAGCACCUACUGAAGAGCAGCUGAGACAUCCAGCCUCUUGGACUGAGCAACUACUAUAUUCUUGGACCUUUCAUUGGGAGACAGUCAUUUUUGGAAAUGUCAGAUCACAGCCUGUAAUCCACUCUAAUAAAUCAUAUGUAUAUAAUUUCUUUGUAUGUAAAUAAUAUAGAUUAUAUAUAUUCAUUCUAUCAGUUCUCUUUCUCUAGAAAACCUUGACUAAUACAUGAGGUGAGACCCAACUUCAAGAUAUAUACAAUCAAUUAGUUCAUAUUCAGUUAUGGUAACUGUCAUGUAAAUAUUUCAUGAGAUCCUGUGUGAGAGCCUGGGCUGGCCUUGAAUUUUCUAUAUAACAGAGGCUGGCCUUGAACCGAUGAUCUUCCUGCCUCCACCUCUCAAGAGCUGGAAUUACAGGUGUGUGCCACCCUACUCAGCUUAAGAUGUAAUUUCUAACCAAAAGGUUUGUCUGCUCAAACUAACUGUGUUGUCUGUCUCUGAAAUGUUCAAGGUUUCUCAUUAAUUUGUUCACUGAAGCUUGUAAGUUCUGGCUCUAGUAAUGGUUUCCAGCUAGAUGUAUGCUAAUGAACAUGGAAUCUAUUAAUUUCUGUCACCACACUGACAAGACUUGGGGUUUGAAUAAGUCAUCUUGUCUCCACGUCCUCAUUAUGGCACCUACAGCUAAUGGCCUUAUGCAGGGGCACAUCCUAGGCAAAGCUGAUGAUAGGUGGCUACUCAAGAACUGAUUGCUACCAUGUUUCUAAUCAGCUAGUGUAAAACAAGGGUCAGAAAUAGAUCUACAGGAGGGACCUCAUUCUGAGCUGCUCUACUACAGUUGUAAAUUAGGAACAAUGAGAGGAAGGGAGGGACGGUU